rnacentral:misc_RNA from 1 species
UGGUUCUGGCAUCGAUGAAGAACGCAGCAAAAUGCGAUAAGUAAUGUGAAUUGCAGAAUUCAGUGAAUCAUCGAAUCUUUGAACGCACAUUGCACCCUCUGGUAUUCCGGGGGGUAUGCCUGUUCGAGCGUCAUUACAACCCUCAAGUUUCCACGCUUGUACUUGGACGACACCUGCUCCUGCUGGUGCGCCCUAAAAUCAUCGGUGGCGGCUCGUAGUCCCCAGCGUAAGUAAAUAUUUUCGCGCUCUGGGGACCUGCGAGAUCCGCCUCUGAGAAACACACUACAUCAGAAGUUGACCUCGGAUCAGGUAGGGAUACCCGCUGA